GACUCUCGGCAACGGAUAUCUCGGCUCUUGCAUCGAUGAAGAACGUAGCGAAAUGCGAUACUUGGUGUGAAUUGCAGAAUCCCGUGAACCAUCGAGUCUUUGAACGCAAGUUGCGCCCGAAACCUUUCUGGUCGAGGGCACGUCUGCCUGGGCGUCACACACAG
rnacentral:rRNA from 1 species